GCCCAGACUCCUACGGGAGGCAGCAGCUAAGAAUAUUGGACAAUGGAGGAAACUCUGAUCCAGCCAUGCCGCGUGAAUGAAGAAGGCCUUCGGGUUGUAAAGUUCUUUUAGUCGUGACGAUGAUGACGGUAGCGACAGAAAAAGCACCGGCUAACUUCGUGCCAGCAGCCGCGGUAAUACGAAGGGUGCAAGCGUUGUUCGGAUUUACUGGGCGUAAAGCGUCCGCAGGUGGUGACUUAAGUCAGGGGUGAAAUCCCGGGGCCCAACCCCGGAACUGCCUUUGAUACUGGGUCGCUGGAGCGUGAUAGAGGAAGAUGGAAUAUCUGGUGUAGGGGUGAAAUCCGUAGAUAUCAGAUGGAACACCAAUGGCGAAGGCAGUCUUCUGGAUCAUAGCUGACACUCAUGGACGAAAGCGUGGGGAGCAAACAGAAUUAGAUACUCUGGUAGUCCACGCCCUAAACGAUCAUGCUUGUUGUUGAUUUCCUUCGGGGGACCAGUGACGAAGCUAACGCGUUAAGCAUGCCGCCUGGGGAGUACGGUCGCAAGAUUAAAACUUAAAGGAAUUGACGGGGACCCGCACAAGCGGUGGAGUAUGUUGUUUAAUUCGAUGCUACGCGAGAAACCUUACCGACCCUUGACAUGUCACACGCGAUUUCCAGAGAUGGAUUUCUUCAAUUCGGUUGGUGUGAACACAGAUGCUGCAUGGCUGUCGUCAGCUCGUGUCGUGAGAUGUUAGGUUAAGUCCUGCAACGAGCGCAACCCACGCCCUAUGUUACCAGCGGAUAAUGCCGGGGACUCUUAGGGGACUGCCCGCGUCAAGCGGGAGGAAGGUGUGGAUGACGUCAAGUCAUCAUGGUUCUUACGGGUCGGGCUACAAACGUACUACAAUGGCAACAACAAUGGGUCGCAAUACUGCAAAGUAAAGCUAAUCCUUAAAAGUUGCCUCAGUUCAGAUUGUCCUCUGCAACUCGAGGGCAUGAAGUUGGAAUCGCUAGUAAUCGCUGAUCAGAAUGCAGCGGUGAAUACGUUCCCGGGUCUUGUACACACCGCCUGUCAAACCAUGAAAGUCGGUUUCACCCGAAGGUGCUAGUCUAACGAAAGAGGACGGCAACUACGGUGGGGCUGGUGAUUGGGGUUAAGUCAGAACAAGGUAGCAGUACCGGAAGGUGCGGCUG
rnacentral:rRNA from 1 species